GGACUCAAAACCAAGUUAGGGGAGUUGGGAGACGUGAGCCUCAACCAACUCAACCACUGGCCUCAUCUUGUCAAAGAAUGGCAUUGAAUAAUACAUAAAGAAAAAAAAUGAAAAAAAUGGGAAAAACUAAAAGGAAUCAAACUCAGGCCAAACAAUGCCUCAUGUACAAACACCAGUAGUUGUAACUUAUUGCAUCGGAAUGCAAACCAACAUGAAAGUCAUACUUUGCAACUUCAAAUAGA
rnacentral:lncRNA from 1 species